GGUAAAAUGGCUGAGUAUAGGCGAUAAACUGUAAAUUUAUUUACAAGAAAAAAUUCUUUUUUACCA
rnacentral:tRNA from 1 species